rnacentral:rRNA from 1 species
UACGAAGGGGGCUAGCGUUGCUCGGAAUCACUGGCGUAAAGCGCACGUAGGCGGAUCGUUAAGUCGGGGGUGAAAUCCUGGAGCUCAACUCCAGAACUGCCUCCGAUACUGGCGAUCUUGGAGUCCGGGAGAGGUGAGUGGAACUCCGAGUGUAGAGGUGAAAUUCGUAGAUAUUCGGAAGAACACCAGUGGCGAAGGCGGCUCACUGGUCCGGUACUGACGCUGAGGUGCGAAAGCGUGGGGAGCAAACAGG